UAAAUCUCUCAAUUUAUGUUGCAUGUGAAAUAUGAAACAAUCUUACUUGCAAAUGUAACUAAGCAGAAGAGAAUUCCAGAGUACCAGACAAUAACACUAGUAUUCCCAAAAGUCAAAAGUGCCACACGUAGCCCAAGUGGUCCAUGUGUUUUCCUGUGAUUCUGGUGAGGAGUGAUGCACACUGCAAUUCACCGGGACAGUAGCUUUUCACCCUUGUCAUGGUUUCUGCUGUCCGGAAGAUUGUCCUACUUUCAUAUCAUGGCAGCAGAAUUUUAAGUGAGGGAUGUUUUAGGAGGCUUCAAGUCUUAGAUAUAUUCUGCGUUCGCCAUCAGUUUCUAGAUUUUCGACCUUUUUCUGAUAGCGCUCAGCCUCAAAGGCUGUGUUGGGAAGGUUCUUCUCAUGAUGUUCUUUUGAGAAAGCUUGAAGUUUCCUUAAAAGAUCACGUAAUAGAUGAAGCGUGGGUGACUUUUAAUGACUUUAAAACUUUGUAUGGCUUUCCUAAAACUAAUCUUGUGAGCAGGUUGCUCACUUUAUUGUCCUACUCUUCCGAUCGUCAGUGGCUGCAGAAAGCAUGUAAUUUAGUCUCUCAGAUUUUGAAAGAGAAAUCAGCUUUACUUUCAAAUGAAAUCUUGACAAAGCUUUCACUCUCCUUUGCAAGAGGACAUAUGCCUUUUCCUGCCUCAACGAUGUUAAGAGCGAUGCUAGAGAGAGAGAAUGUGCCCACUGUAACUUUGUUGAGGUUAAUUAUUUUGCAUAUGGUGAAGACAGAGACCGGAACGUGCCUUGCCUCCAAUUUUCUGAUUCAGAUUUGUGAGUGUUUUCUGCAUAAGACUACAAACAGAAAUAAUUGUGUAAAGGUGAUAAAACCUGAUACUUUGACGUUCAACCUCGUUUUGGAUGCUUGUGUCAGGUUUAAAUCGUGUCUGAAAGGUCAAGAGUUAGUGGAAUGGAUGUCACGAACAGGCACCAUUGCUGAUGCACACUCGAUUCUCAGUAUUGCCCAGCUCUAUGAAUUAAAUAACCUGAAGGAUGAGAUUAAAAAAUUUAAAGAUCAUAUUGAUCAAGUAUCUGCUCCUUUUGUUUGCCACUACCAGCAAUUCUAUGAAGUCUUGUUGAACAUGUAUUUUAAGUUUGAUGACCUUGAUGCUGCUGCCGAGCUUGUCUUAGAUAUGAAUAGAUUGAGGGGGUAUGUUCCUAAUGAAAAGCCUAAGAAUUACCUGCAAAAGCCUAGCAUUGUUUCAAUUGGAUCUCAGAAUCUGAGGGCUGGGUUGAAGAUCCAAAUUUUGCCCGAGUCGCUACAGAAGGAUAUUAUUAUCAAAGUAGAACAUAAAAAAGAACUUAUAGACUUUAAGAAUGGGAAGCUUCUCCUCAGUAAUAGAGCUCUAGCAAAGUUCAUCAGUGGUUACAAGAGGCAGGGGAGAAUUUCUGAGCUUACAAAGGUUUUACUAAGCAUGCAAAAUGACUUCCAGACAAUAGGAGGAUCCAGUUUAUGUUCGGAUGUGAUUGAUGCUUGCGUUCAUUUAGAUUGGCCGGAAACUGCUCAUGACAUUUUGGAUGACAUGGAAGCAGCUCGCUCAUCAUGCGGCUUGACUACAUAUAUGAUACUCUUAACAGCUUACUAUAGUAGACAGAUGCCAAACGAGGCAGAAGCCUUACUAAGACAAAUUAGGAAGACCGGUUUACUUACAACUUGCUCCAGUGAGAUGGUUGCGCCCACCGGUCUUUUAGAAAAAGCAGAUAAGUCUUUACUCAGUAAAUCAGAUCUAGCUGACUUCAUAGUUCAAGAAACGAGAGAGGAGAAGGCCACUCAUCCUAGAGUUUAUGAGUUAAAUUCUUCUAUUUACUACUUUGGCAAGGCCAAAAUGAUGGGGGAUGCUAUGAAGAUAUACAAAAGAAUGCAAGCGAUGAAAAUCCAACCCACAGUGCAGACUUUUGCGUAUCUGGUGUAUGGUUAUUCUUCUUUGGAAAGUUAUCGAGAUAUUACAUUCUUAUGGGGGGACAUCAAAAGGCACAUGAAGACCACAAAUUUUUUGGUGAGCAGAGACCUAUAUGAAUCCUUGUUACUGAAUUUUCUCCGAGGUGGUUACUUUGAGAGGGUAAUGGAGGUUGCUGGUCACAUGAAAGAACGUAAAAUGUGCACUGACAAGGGGAUGUAUAAAAGUGAGUUCUUGAAGCUUCAUAAAAAUCUAUACAAGGUUUUAAAAGCAUCGGAAGCAAGAAAUGAGGUUCAAAAGAAGAGGGUUGAGUUUGUUCAGACAUUUAGGAAAUGGGUUGGAAUUGACUGAAGAUCUGUCACUACAUGGCUCAUCUGAAAAGCAAGUUUCUUGGUUCUUGGCUCUGAAGAUCUAAAUUCAACAUUUUUUUGUGGGAGCUAAAAUUAAGAAUGGCAAGAAGCAAUUAUAGUCUAGAGCAAAUGGAAUAAGCUGAAAUUGUAUGCAAUAUUCUUUUGCUGGUAUUUGUCUCUGCAUCAGUUCUGCUACUUGGUUUUGCCCCCUCAGUGAUGGUCAGGUAUACCAGCUGCUUCGGACAGCAAUAAUAAUGGGAGUAGGCAGCAUUGGACAUCUGUAUUGUGUAAAGUGGAAGGCUCUUAUGUAGGAGCAGCUCGACUAUUUUGAUAUUAUGAACAGUGUUGGUGCUCUUCUGUCUGGUUAAAAAUGAUAAAAAGAUUGCAGAAACUAGGUGAAAGUUGUUGACAGACCUAAAUCAGACACUCUGCUUGAGAUUGUGGACAAUGAGAAAAGCCUGAAGUUAUAGUACAAGUCCCAAUUUCCAGAACAGAGUAAGGGAAGUUUGAAAAAUCAGAAGUCGGAGCAGAAUAUUAGAUGCAACGAGGUUUUUCUAGCCGCCAAAGAUUAUGAAAAUUACAAAAGUUUAAUCUCUACAAUCAAACGGCGACUUAUAUAUAAAAAAAGGGACAUGAUUGAAUGGCACUUCUUAGCUUCUUCAUGUUCUUAUUCCAGUGAAUGUUAACUAUGUGCUAUAUGAUCCUUGUUGUGAAGUGGAUUCUAGAGGUUCAUAGGCAGAAACAGAACUCCUGCUGCUGAUUUGAAUUUGGCAUAAUUGGUACAGAAAGAUCUUUGCUUUUCUUUUGUUACAAGUUAAAAAAGACUGUAAAUAUGCCAA